rnacentral:rRNA from 1 species
CAAUAGCGUAUAUUAAAGUUGUUGCGGUUAAAAAGCUCGUAGUUGGAUUUCUGUUGAGGACGGCCGGUCCGCUCUAUGUGCGUGUAUCUGGUUCGGCCUCGGCAUCCUCUCGAAAGCCGUUUCUGCGCUUGAUUGCGUGGUUCGGACUUCGGGACUUUUACUUUGAGGAAAUUAGAGUGUUCACGGCAGGCAAGCGCCUUGAAUAUAUUAGCAUGGAAUAAUAAUAUAGGAUCUUGGUCCUAUUUUGUUGGUUUCUAGGGCUAAGAUAAUGAUUAAUAGGGACAAUUGGGGGCAUUCGUAUUAACGCGUCAGAGGUGGAAUUCUUGGAUUGCGUUACGACGAACUACUGCGAAAGCAUUUGCCAAGGAUGUUUUCAUUGA